AGAACGAACGCUGGCGGCGUGGAUAAGACAUGCAAGUCGAACGGGACAUUGUGAGUAGCAAUACGAGCGAUGUCUAGUGGCGAACGGGUGCGUAACACGUGGAUACAUUCCGGGAAGCGGGGGAUAGCCCAGGGAAACUUGGAUUAAUACCGCAUGUGGUCGAAAGACUAAAGGCAGGGACCGCAAGGCCUGCCACUUCCCGAUUGGUCCGCGGCCUAUCAGCUAGUUGGCGGGGUAAAAGCCCACCAAGGCUACGACGGGUAGCUGGUCUUAGAGGACGACCAGCCACACUGGAACUGAGACACGGUCCAGACACCUACGGGUGGCAGCAGUCGAGAAUCUUUCACAAU
rnacentral:rRNA from 1 species